rnacentral:rRNA from 1 species
CGAAAGCCUGACGGAGCAACGCCGCGUGAGGGAUGAAGGCCUCUGGGCUGUAAACCUCUUUUCUCAAGGAAGAAGAUCUGACGGUACUUGAGGAAUAAGCCACUGCUAAUUCCGUGCCAGCAGCCGCGGUAAUACGGGAGUGGCAAGCGUUAUCCGGAAUUAUUGGGCGUAAAGCGUCCGCAGGCGGCCUUGUAAGUCUGUCGUUAAAGCGUGGAGCUUAAUUCCAUUUGAGCGAUGGAAACUACAAGGCUUGAGUGUGGUAGGGGCAGAGGGAAUUCCCGGUGUAGCGGUGAAAUGCGUAGAUAUCGGGAAGAACACCAGUGGCGAAGGCGCUCUGCUGGGCCAUAACUGACGCUCAUGGACGAAAGCCAGGGGAGCG